rnacentral:rRNA from 1 species
GACAUAGGCCUCAAGCGUUAGGCGGAAUCACUGGGCUUAAAGCGUGUGUAGGCGGACUUCUAAGUGCCUUGUGAAAUCCCACGGCUCAACCGUGGAACUGCUGGGCAUACUGGGAGUCUUGGGCCAUUCAGGGGCAACUGGAACAAGCGGUGGAGCGGUGAAAUGCGUAGAUAUCGCUUGGAACGCCGAAGGUGAAAACAGGUUGCUGGGGAUGUGCCGACGCUGAGACACGAAAGCCAGGGGAGCAAACGGG